CAGCCGCCGCCUGUCUCCACAG
rnacentral:miRNA from 1 species